rnacentral:pre_miRNA from 4 species
UCUUAUGGAUGAGAAAAGAAAGUGGUUUCUUGAGAUGGAAACUACUCGUGGAGAAGAUGCUGUGAA